rnacentral:rRNA from 1 species
GAUGAAUGCUGGCGGCGUGCCUAACACAUGCAAGUCGAGCGGCAGCGAGUUUUACACUGAAUUCUGGAAGCUUCUGAGUAGUACAGAAGAUUUAUUCAAGAGUUUUGUGUAAAAUGUCGGCGAGCGGCGGACGGCUGAGUAACGCGUAGGAAUUUGCCCCAAAGUGAGGAAUAACUGCCCGAAAGGGUAGCUAAUGCCGCAUAUGGUCUUCAGAUUAAAGCCUUCGGGCGCUUUGGGAGAAGCCUGCGUUGGAUUAGGUAGUUGGUAGGGUAAUGGCCUACCAAGCCGACGAUCCAUAGCUGGUCUGAGAGGAUGAUCAGCCAGACUGGAACUGAGACACGGUCCAGACUCCUACGGGAGGCAGCAGUGAGGAAUCUUCCACAAUGGGCGAAAGCCUGAUGGAGCAACGCCGCGUGAAGGAUGAAGGCCUUCGGGUUGUAAACUUCUUUUAUGAGUGAAGAAUAUGACGGUAACUCAUGAAUAAGCACCGGCUAACUACGUG